UGAUUAGCUCAGCUGGGAGAGCACCUCCCUUACAAGGAGGGGGUCGGCGGUUCGAUCCCGUCAUCACCCACCA
rnacentral:tRNA from 18 species